rnacentral:lncRNA from 1 species
UGAUAUCUUUAAAUUACAACAAAUAUGUUUAGAAAUCAGUCACCGUAACUAAGAUACAUUGUUCUUGUUCUAAUUUACAAUUUAAUUGCAUGAAUUGUUAAUAGUAAAUCGCCUAAACUUUCUCAGAACAGUUCCGCCUCUGGCCACACACCUACUCACAACCCUAACAUUAAAAUGUCCUUCCUUUUCCAAUUCUAAUGUUUGAAAGGUGCGUGGGUGAAGAAACCUGCCUCCGCUCACAUUGUUGACUCAUUAUAGAUAAAAAAUUAUUAUGUGGCUAAUUCCUGCCAACUUGUUUUUGAGAUGUCAUUGGGAUUUUAUUACAGGAAACAGACAACCAUGAGCAAGUGCCACAUAAAAGAGUUUUUAUAAUCUGUAUAGUCACUCUUGUGACUCACAAGACCCUACAAGUUAAUAAUGCUGAAUAUUUGUAUUUUGUUCAUUCUUAAAAAAGCACACUAAUCGUCACAAUCAAUACCGUUCAUUAUGGUAGUUAUGAUGCAAAAUGCCUUUGGUUGCUAUCCUCCAUGUCUUAUCAUGUUUUCACGAUGUUUGACAGAAGACAGGGCUCUCCUUGGCACAUUAAUCUUUGCAGUGAACUUCCAUAUUAUCUGUCCAAAGCAAACUAACCUUGGGUGGUUAUGAUAAUCUCAUUCCUCCCAACAUUUAAAAUAGAUGAAGAGGGACACUUUCAUUGUGUUAGUAGGGGUUGUGGCCAGGGGCUGGGGACGAGGCAGUUCUGAGAAAUUUUAGGUAAAUAAAAUGUAAUUUAGAACAACGUGUCUUAUUUAUACAGGCUGAUUUCUAAAUAUAUAUUCCUGUAGUUUAAAGAAAUUACUGUGAGUAUUACUGCUGUGAUGAUGUUAUCGGGGCUGGAGUGUCUGGCGGCAUGUUACCUUUAGGAGUUAAACCCAAAGGUUGUCUAUUGGUCUGCUCUGAGACUAUCACCGCUGUUCUCUGACUAUCAGUGGAUGUCUAUUAGGAGAGACAGUACAUACAGACACUCUUAACUCACCACAAACCUGGCAAAACCUUCCAAAUAUUGUGGUGGCAGGGAGAUAAAAAAGUGAGGGUCAGCGGUGUUGAUCGCUGGACAGCUUCGGGGUUAAACUAUUUGAAAAUGGUUUAAACCCUGAGGUAAGACAGCCCCUAUACUCUUGCUUGGAGAGACAGGGUUAUACCAGGAGACAGGCUGAGGGGAGGACUUAGAAGUAUGGCCACUAUGACAUGCGUGCUUACAGCACAUGCCAAAUAUGCACAGAUUUCACAUUAGACAGCCUCUCAUUCUGGGUUGGUUAAUAGCACUAAUGGGGGUGGAGUUACACUUUCAGCCGCAUACUGCUCUAAUACUGUAUGUUGUACAAAAUCUCUGAAGUGGUCAUGGUGGUUGUAGUAACCCUUUAACAGGAAAAUUGAAUAAGCAGCAUGGCUCUGACUGUGACAUUUAUCUCCAACACCACACAGGACACUGCCACAGACCUGCCAUUUUUGAAAAUUAUUCUAUUGUUUUUGCUAAUGUGCUCAUUAGUUGACAACAGUGAAGUGAACACAUGAAUUUCAAGUGAACACAUGAAGCAACAACAAUGAUAUAGUACUGUCACAGGGAAUGUCACACAAGGUGACGCCACUUGAAUUAUCAGUUUAAAAAAAGGACAAGAGCUCAAAUAAAUGACAAAUAAGAGCAAGCGCAAGUAAGGAGAUUAACAUGUUGCUUGCAGUCUUUUCUGUUCUGUUCAUCAAUUUCCCAGAACUCAGGCAGGAGAGAGACACUCUUUAUCACUGAAAACCUGCAACAUUAGCUUUGCAGCAUGUGGAUUUGUCUCUGAGCUCUCUGUGUGGCCGUGAUUGAUUAAAUAGUGCAUAAUACUUUUUGCUACCCAGCCAAUCACAGAAAGUUGUUGAGCUGCGCUGGUACCGUAUAUGCAUGACACCAAUAUGUUGUGAUAAGUAAAACAAAAAAUUUAAAAUGAGGGAAGCACAUCAGAU